rnacentral:rRNA from 1 species
UACAGAGGUCCCAAGCGUUGUUCGGAUUCACUGGGCGUAAAGGGUGCGUAGGUGGUGGGGUAAGUCGGAUGUGAAAUCUCCGAGCUCAACUCGGAAAUGGCAUUGGAAACUACCCUGCUAGAGGGUCGGAGGGGGGACUGGAAUACUUGGUGUAGCAGUGAAAUGCGUAGAUAUCGGGAGGAACACCGGUGGCGAAGGCGGGAUCCUGGGCCAGUACUGACGCUGAGGAGCGAAAAGCGUGGGGAGCAAACAGG